UACAGAGGUCUCAAGCGUUGUUCGGAUUCAUUGGGCGUAAAGGGUGCGUAGGCGGCGCGGUAAGUCGGGUGUGAAAUUUCGAGGCUUAACUUCGAAACUGCAUUCGAUACUGCCGUGCUUGAGGACUGGAGAGGAGACUGGAAUUUACGGUGUAGCGGUGAAAUGCGUAGAUAUCGUAAGGAAGACCAGUGGCGAAGGCGGGUCUCUGGACAGUUCCUGACGCUGAGGCACGAAGGCCAGGGGGAGCAAACGGG
rnacentral:rRNA from 1 species